GGGACCGCGCAUGGCAGGCAGUUUGACUGGGGCGGUCGCCUCCCAAAGCGUAACGGAGGCGUACGAAGGUGGGCUCAGAGCGGUCGGAAAUCGCUCGUUGAGUGCAAUGGCAUAAGCCUGCCUGACUGCGAGACUGACAAGUCGAGCAGAGUCGAAAGACGGCCAUAGUGAUCCGGUGGUCCCAAGUGGGAGGGCCAUCGCUCAACGGAUAAAA
rnacentral:rRNA from 1 species